rnacentral:rRNA from 1 species
GUUGUCCGGAAUCAUUGGGCGUAAAGCGCGUGUAGGCGGCUUGGUAAGUCUGCUCUGAAAGCCCGGGGCUCAACCCCGGGAGGCGGGUGGAUACUGUCAAGCUCGAGUCCGGAAGAGGAGUGUGGAAUUCCUGGUGUAGCGGUGAAAUGCGCAGAUAUCAGGAGGAACACCAAUGGCGAAGGCAGCACUCUGGGACGUGACUGACGCUGAGACGCGAAAGCGUGGGGAGCAAACAGG